AUUUAAAUAGCUUAAUUAAAAGUUUAAUAUUGAAAAUAUUAAGAUAAUUUAAAAAUUUUUAAAUA
rnacentral:tRNA from 2 species